rnacentral:rRNA from 1 species
AAAGAGAAGUACCUUACCUUGGCUUGACAUGCAGGGAAAAGCGGAGGAAAGGUUGCUUCCGAAAGGGCUCUGCACAGGUGGCGCAUGGCUGUCGUCAGCUUGUGUUGUGAGAUGGUGGGUUAAGUCCCGCAACGAGCACACCCCCUGUCCUAUGUUGCCAACAUUAAGUUGGGGACUCUUAGGAGACUGCCGGUGUCAAGCCGGAGGAAGGUGGGGAUGACGUCAAGUCAUCAUGCCCCUUAUGUCUUGGGCUACACACGUGCUACAAUGGCCGGUACAAAGGGUUGCCAAGCCGCGAGGUGGAGCGAAUCCCAUAAAACCGGUCCCAGUUCGGAUCGCAGUCUGCAACUCGCCUCCGUGAAGUCGGAAUCGGUAGUAAUCGUCA